GUGCUCACUGCAGCAACAUACAUAUUAAAGCUAGAACUACAUAGAGAAGAUUAGCAUGGCCCCUGAGUAUGACAUGCAAAUAAGGGACGUAUUCCAUAUUUUU
ensembl:snRNA U6 U6 spliceosomal RNA